CCUACGGGAGGCAGCAGUAGGGAAUAUUGUCCAAUGGGCGCAAGCCUGAGACAGCCAUGCCGCGUGUGAAGAAGGCCCUAGGGUUGUAAAGCACUUUCAGCGGGGAGGAUGAAGCCGAGGUUAAUAGCCUUGGUUGAAGACGUUACCCGCAGAAGAAGGACCGGCUAACUCCGUGCCAGCAGCCGCGGUAAU
rnacentral:rRNA from 1 species